UACGGAGAGUGCAAGCGUUGUUCGGAAUUAUUGGGCGUAAAGCGCGUGUAGGUGGCUCGACAAGUCUGAUGUGAAAGCCCAGGGCUUAACCCUGGAAGUGCACCGGAAACUGUUGAGCUUGAGUACUGGAGGGGGAAGUGGAAUUCUCGAGUGUAGAGGUGAAAUUCGUAGAUAUUCGGAAGAACAUCAGUGGCGAAGGCGACUUCCUGGACAGAUACUGACACUGAGACGCGAAAGCGUGGGUAGCAAACAGG
rnacentral:rRNA from 1 species